rnacentral:tRNA from 1 species
CCGCCCGUAGCUCAGCUGGAUAGAGUGUCUGGCUUCGAACCAGAAGGCCGCAGGUUCGAGUCCUGCCGGGCGGGCCA